UACAGAGACUGCAAGCGUUAUUCGGAUUCACUGGGCGUAAAGGGUGCGCAGGCGGCCGGGUGUGUCAGAUGUGAAAUCCCGAGGCUUAACCUCGGAACUGCGUCUGAAACUACUCGGCUAGAGUACUGGAGAGGGUAACGGAAUUCACGGUGUAGCAGUGAAAUGCGUAGAUAUCAUGAGGAACACCAGAGGCGAAGGCGGUUACCUGGACAGUUACUGACGCUCAGGCACGAAAGCAUGGGGAGCAAAAGGG
rnacentral:rRNA from 1 species